GAUCGUUUAGGUCCGUGUUGUAAUUUUAAUUGUUUGGUUGUUCUACAUGUAAAUUAAAGUGGGAAAUAUAUUAUAUAGAUUUUAAAAAGAUAAUCUCAGUAGAAAAUAUUGGAUUUGAAAUGAAUAUUAUAUCCAGGAAAUCAUAAAAAAGUGGAAAAUAGCGUGCCAGCAGCCGCGGUUAUACGCGUGCUUUAAAUUAAAAUUUAUAAAUAAAACUGUGCUUUUAAAAAAAAAUAAGAUUUAAAUUUAUUUUUAUUAUUAAGUAGAAUUUUAAUAAAAAGGAAUGAUAAAAUUAUAAAAGCUCUAGAACCGAAGUAUUUUGGACCAGGAUUAGAUACCCUGUUACUUUCGUUAUACAGUUUUAGAAUAGUAGAAUUUUUGAAAUUUAACGGAUUUGGCGGCAAGAUAGCCCAUUUAGAGGAACCUGCCCUAUAAACGAUGAUCCACGAGUUACUUCACUUUCUUUAGUAAACAGUUUGUAUACCGCUGUUGUCAGUUAGUUUUUAGAGGAAACUUUCUACAAUGAUAAAAUCAUUGACUUCAAGUAAAGGUGCAGCUUAUAAGAAAGCUAGAGGUGGGUUACAAUUUUAAGAAAAAUACGAAUCACAAAAAUGAAAAAUUGUGUGAAGGUGGAUUUAAUAGUAAAGUUAAAUUUAACUUGAUAAGAGCACUAACUUGUGUACACACCGCCCGUCGCUCUCUUUAUUAAAAGAGAUAAGUCGUAACAAGGUAAGUGUAAUGGAAAUUGCACUUG
rnacentral:ncRNA from 1 species